rnacentral:rRNA from 1 species
AUGGAGCCGACCUUGAAAUACCACCCUUUAAUGUUUGAUGUUCUAACGUUGACCCGUAAUCCGGGUUGCGGACAGUGUCUGGUGGGUAGUUUGACUGGGGCGGUCUCCUCCUAAAGAGUAACGGAGGAGCACGAAGGUUGGCUAAUCCUGGUCGGACAUCAGGAGGUUAGUGCAAUGGCAUAAGCCAGCUUGACUGCGAGCGUGACGGCGCGAGCAGGUGCGAAAGCAGGUCAUAGUGAUCCGGUGGUUCUGAAUGGAAGGGCCAUCGCUCAACGGAUAAAAGGUACUCCGGGGAUAACAGGCUGAUACCGCCCAAGAGUUCAUAUCGACGGCGGUGUUUGGCACCUCGAUGUCGGCUCAUCACAUCCUGGGGCUGAAGUAGGUCCCAAGGGUAUGGCUGUUCGCCAUUUAAAGUGGUACGCGAGCUGGGUUUAGAACGUCGUGAGACAGUUCGGUCCCUAUCUGCCGUGGGCGCUGGAGAACUGAGGGGGGCUGCUCCUAGUACGAGAGGACCGGAGUGGACGCAUCACUGGUGUUCGGGUUGUCAUGCCAAUGGCACUGCCCGGUAGCUAAAUGCGGAAGAGAUAAGUGCUGAAAGCAUCUAAGCACGAAACUUGCCCCGAGAUGAGUUCU